rnacentral:rRNA from 1 species
UACGUAGGGAGCAAGCGUUGUCCGGAAUCAUUGGGCGUAAAGCGCGCGUAGGUGGUCCCGUAAGUCCGCUGUGAAAGUCAAAGGCUCAACCUUUGAAAGCCGGUGGAUACUGUGGGACUAGAGUACGGAAGAGGCGAGUGGAAUUCCUGGUGUAGCGGUGGAAUGCGCAGAUAUCAGGAGGAACACCAAUAGCGAAGGCAGCUCGCUGGGACGUUACUGACACUAAGGCGCGAAAGCGUGGGGAGCGAACAGG